AACACGUAGGUAAUCUUCCCUUGAGCGGGGGACAACAGGCCGAAAGGCCUGCUAAUACCGCAUAAGUUUUCAGAGACCCCGGUCUUUGAAAGGAAAGCUAGGCCGCAAGGUCCGGCACUCGAGGAGGAGCCUGCGUCGCAUCAGCUAGUUGGUGGGGUAACGGCCUACCAAGGCGAAGACGCGUAGCUGGUCUGAGAGGAUGAUCAGCCACACUGGGACUGAGACACGGCCCAGACUCCUACGGGAGGCAGCAGUGGGGAAUAUUGGACAAUGGGCGCAAGCCUGAUCCAGCCACGCCGCGUGAGUGAUGAAGGCCUUCGGGUCGUAAAGCUCUGUGGGGAGGGACGAACCGCCGGAUGUUCAUAGCAUCCGGCAUGACGGUACCUCCUUAGCA
rnacentral:rRNA from 1 species